GAUGAACGCUAGCGGGAGGCUUAACACAUGCAAGUCGAGGGGCAGCACGAGGUAGCAAUACUUUGGUGGCGACCGGCGCACGGGUGAGUAACGCGUAUGUAACCUACCCUGUACAGGGGGAUAACCCGGAGAAAUUCGGACUAAUACCCCAUAAAGAUAUGAGAUGGCAUCAUUUAUAUUAAAGUUCCGGCGGUACGGGAUGGCAUGCGUAACAUUAGCUAGUUGGUAAGGUAACGGCUUACCAAGGCUGCGAUGUUUAGGGGUCCUGAGAGGGUGAUCCCCCACACUGGUACUGAGACACGGACCAGACUCCUACGGGUGGCAG
rnacentral:rRNA from 1 species